rnacentral:lncRNA from 1 species
GAUUAUUGCUGGUGACCCGGAGAAUGUUACUGAGACUUGGAUGAGUAAUUCAUACAGUUAUGGAAUGGUGAUUUGGGAGAUGGUGACUGGUGAGGCAGCCUACUCUACAUGCUCCCCUGUGCAGGCAGCAGUUGGGAUAGCAGCAUGUGGCCUAAGGCCAGAGAUUCCCAAGGACUGCCCUCAAUUCCUUAAAUCUCUCAUGACAAAGUGCUGGAACAAUUGCCCGUCAAAGCGGCCUCAAUUCUCUGAAAUUCUAUUGAUAUUGCUGCGGCCCAACAACAACAAC